ACUCACGCGGGAAUCUUACCGGGUCCGGACACACUGAGGAUUGACAGGUUCCGAGAGUUUUUGCUUCGGCAAUGCUCUCUUAAAUAUGAUAGUCCUUUCAUGAUUAUGUGAUAGGUGGUGCAUGGCCGUUCUUAGUUCGUGGAGUGAUCUGUCUGCUUAAUUGCGUUUCACUAAAGGCGUCAUAUCUGUUUUGUUGCGUGUUUGACCCCUCUUCGGAGCGCGUGUCUUCACGCACAAUUACUUUGGCGUCUGAAAGCAACGAACGUGACCGUAACCUCUUGUUGCCUUCUCUUCUCCUCGGAGAAUGCUGUUUGUUUUUGCAGGCAGUAUAUGGAGGCUUUUUUACUCAACAACUAGAGGGACCGCUGUUUCUUUCUUUAAACCAGAGGAAGGAUACGGCAAUAACAGGUCUGUGAUGCCCUUAGAUGUUCCGGGCUGCACACGUGAUACAUUGAUUACUUCAGUGAGUAUCUACGUUUUACUGCGUGGCAUUGCAAUGCAUAUUUCUUCGGAAGUGUGUUUUUGUUUGCCGCCUCAACCUGCUUCGAAAGCAUGCGGGUAACCAAUUAGAAGUAGUGAUUUCCUUUUUUAUAA
rnacentral:rRNA from 1 species